rnacentral:rRNA from 1 species
UGGGGAAUAUUGCACAAUGGGCGCAAGCCUGAUGCAGCCAUGCCGCGUGUAUGAAGAAGGUCUUCGGGUUGUAAAGCACUUUCAGCGGGGAGGAAGGCGAUAAGGUUAAUAACCUUGUCGAUUGACGUUACCCGCAGAAGAAGCACCGGCUAACUCCGUGCCAGCAGCCGCGGUAAUACGGAGGGUGCAAGCGUUAAUCGGAAUUACUGGGCGUAAAGCGCACGCAGGCGGUUGAUUGAGUCAGAUGUGAAAUCCCCGGGCUUAACCCGGGAAUUGCAUCUGAUACUGGUCAGCUAGAGUCUUGUAGAGGGGGGUAGAAUUCCAUGUGUAGCGGUGAAAUGCGUAGAGAUGUGGAGGAAUACCGGUGGCGAAGGCGGCCCCCUGGACAAAGACUGACGCUCAGGUGCGAAAGCGUGGGGAGCAAACAGG